rnacentral:rRNA from 1 species
AUUGAACGCUGGCGGCAGGCCUAACACAUGCAAGUCGAGCGGAGCGGCGGACGGGUGAGUAAUGCCUAGUAAUCUGCCUGGUAGUGGGGGAUAACGUCCGGAAACGGGCGCUAAUACCGCAUACUAUCAGAUGAGCCUAGGUCGGAUUCGUUAGUUGGUGGGGUAAAGGCCUACCAAGGCGACGAUCCGUUACUGGUCUGUGAGGAUGAUCAGUCACAAUGUAAAUGAGACCCGGUCCCGGCUCCUACGGGAGGCAGCAGUGGGGAAUAUUGGACAAUGGGCGAAAGCCUGAUCCAGCCAUGCCGCGUGUGUGAAGAAGGUCUUCGGAUUUUAAAGAACUUUAAGUUGGGAGACGUUGCCAACAGAAUAAACACCGGCUAACUUCAGGCCAGCAGCCGCGGUAAUAC